UACGAAGGGUGCAAGCGUUAAUCGGAAUUACUGGGCGUAAAGGGUGCGUAGGCGGUUGUUUAAGUCUGUCGUGAAAGCCCCGGGCUCAACCUGGGAACUGCGUUUGGUACUGGCAAGCUAGAGUACGGCAGAGGGGGGUGGAAUUCCACGUGUAGCAGUGAAAUGCGUAGAGAUGUGGAGGAACACCGAUGGCGAAGGCAGCCCCCUGGGCCGAUACUGACGCUCAUGCACGAAAGCGUGGGGAGCAAACAGG
rnacentral:rRNA from 1 species